ACCCGUGUUAAGCUCCUUCUACUAGUCGAGUUGGUUGUGAAUGCCGCUCUCAAUGAGUGGUAAAUUUCAUCAAAAGCUAAAUAUUGGCCGGAGACCGAUAGCGCUCAAGUAGAGUGAUCGAAAGAUGAAAAGCACUUUGAAAAGAGAGUUAAAAAAGCACGUGAAAUUGUUGAAAGGGAAGCGUUUGCGACCAGACUCGCCU
rnacentral:rRNA from 1 species